CUCAGAAGUCAGGAAAUGAAGCUAACAUUGGAUUUGGACGUGCCUUGAUGCCUUCUUACCUUGGAAAGCAGCAUUUUUCAGAUUUCGGAGGCAGCCACACACUGGAAAAUUAUUAUUAUUAUUUUUUUUUAUUUUUUUAUUUUAUUUUUUUUUAGUUUGGCUCACCUCCCAUUCGUGUACAUGUAGAGGGCGGAGUUUAUGAGCUAUACUGCAACCAAACACUAGAUGGCGACCUUUUCAGGACAUAUGCGGCACACUUGCUCAGAAUUAACAUUGAGAAGAAAAGGAAAAACAAGAAAAACAACAAACUACUGAAUACUGCAAUUCCAGAACAGACACCGUUUUGACGAUCGUGUCGGGGGUUAAAAGAGUCCGAGAGAGUGAGGGCUCAGGUCAUCAGUGCUCCAUAGCGUGCAGCGUGUGGCAGCAGACAGCGGGAGACUCCGCACACAUGUGGACUUCACAUCAGCGCCAGCGGAAGGAUGAGUCGGGGAGACAGCACAGCGGCCCACUCCGAACUUACUUAAGGGCAGAAACAGGCUACAAUAUGGG